UUCAUAUGAACAGCGGCUACAUUAGAAAA
rnacentral:sRNA from 1 species